UUAAUGAAAGCAAUGGUCCUGCCAUUCUUUAUUUCUCACAAUAAUACAUAUUUACAGAAGAAAAAGAAUUGUACGUUUUAAAUUCUGAUCAUUAUACAGAUUUUUUGCAGUUGAAUAAAAGGAUGACUCUCUUAGUGACCUUUAAAAGUAACUUCAAUGCUAAUCGAAGGUACUAAUUAUAUGUUAAACACGUUUAAUAACCGUUGUUAAGCUCACUUGAAAACACAAGACUUUUAGCACCCAGUAAAAGUAAUAAAGCAUUAUCAUUUGAGCUAAGACCUUUUAAGAGAUCUGACUUAGAAGUAUCUUCAUCAUAGAUGCACAGUCCAAUUUCUCAACAUACGUUUUAGAAACUUGGGAGAAAAAAAACGUUAAAGGAAAAUCUCCAUAGCUUUUUUAAGAAUCAUAUGUGAAUCAGUUUUUCCCUCAAAAGGCCUUGAAACAUUGGCAUCUUGAGGUGCUAUUAAAAAAAAAAAAGAACAAGAUUUUGUUAUUAAUCAAAAGCUUC
rnacentral:lncRNA from 1 species